rnacentral:lncRNA from 1 species
CCCGCUCCAUGUCCAUGUUUCUUCAACACCUACAAUUGGAGCAAAGAAAUAGGUAGAAAAUGUAUGGUUUUUGGCUAUAAAGCCUUCAAUUUUUCAUAGUAAAGGGGAUCCAAAAAUUGUAUCACUCGCGUAUUUUUCAAGGAAUCAAACAAAAAACACACAGAAGGUUGAUCUCCGAUUUUGUUCUCUUUAUUUUCGUUUUUCGUUUUCUUGCUUCUUUAAUAUUUCUUUUAUUUUUUAUACAAAUCUAUUAAACAAAGAUACAAAAAAGAAAAAAAUAAAAGGAAAGAGGAAGGAUUCUCACCAAAUUCGGCCCCGUCGCCGCGUUAUCGGAGCCUUCCCCUCCGUUCGGCGUGGUUGAGUCUAAAAAGGGGGUUGAACCCUUGUCUUUUCGUUUUUGGAGCUAGCCUCCAACAAGUAAAAAAUGGGAGAGCUAAAGGAGCCCAUUUUGGUGUAUCGUCGGCCACCGAGUGCGGUGGUGGCGCGACGGUUGAAGGGCGGCAAUGAUGGGUUUCUUUGAAACCCUAGCAGAAAAUAAAAGAGAAGGAAAAGGGGGAGAGAGCAAGGAAGCUCUCUGUUCUUUUUGUUUAAAGUUUGUUCUUUUUGUUUAAAGUUGGGGGAAGCUGGUAAUGGAAUAAUAAAAUAAAAAAUAAAAAAAGGGGAAAGUUGGUAAUGGAAUAAAAAAAGGAAAGUUUUUUUUUUUUGGUUUAAAU